UACGUAGGGACCAAGCGUUGUUCGGAUUUACUGGGCGUAAAGGGCGCGUAGGCGGUCAGCACAAGUCAGUUGUGAAAUCUCCGGGCUUAACUCGGAAAGGUCAACUGAUACUGUGCGACUAGAGUGCAGAAGGGGCAACUGGAAUUCUCGGUGUAGCGGUGAAAUGCGUAGAUAUCGAGAGGAACACCUGCGGCGAAGGCGGCGCUCUGGGACGGUACUGACGCUGAGACGCGAAAGCGUGGGGAGCGAACAGG
rnacentral:rRNA from 1 species